CUCAUCCUUAGCUGGAUCUCAGGGGUAAACAAGUCCAGGAAUGAGGGUAUCCUUUUCUAUUCAGUCUAAGAAGAACACUAUUCCGUCAGUUCUAGAAUCUUCACAUUUCUUUCUUGUAAGUCCCAAAAUCCCAGAGAUCAGAGAUCACAGAGAUAGAUGUGUCCUUCUCUUCUGCUGCUGUGCCUUGUCUGUCUUUUUAUGGUAAGGGAAGUUUAUCCAGC